rnacentral:rRNA from 1 species
UACAGAGGUCCCAAGCGUUGUUCGGAUUCAUUGGGCGUAAAGGGUGUGUAGGUGGCGCGCUAAGUCGGGUGUGAAAUUUCGGAGCUUAACUCCGAAACUGCAUUCGAUACUGGCGUGCUUGAGGACUGGAGAGGAGACUGGAAUUCAUGGUGUAGCAGUGAAAUGCGUAGAGAUCAUGAGGAACACCAGUGGCGAAGGCGGCUCACUGGCCCGGUACUGACGCUGAGGUGCGAAAGCGUGGGGAGCAAACAGG